CUGGGUGCUGGCACUGGGAGAGAAGGAACAGGAGUCAGGCUCAGGACAACCUCCAUGGCACUCAUUCUGCUGGCAUCUCAUUCCGUUCAGUCAUCACCAAUCUCUUCAAAGAUAAAUUCAGAUCACAAUGGAGUUCUUGGACCUGAACUCUGCAACCUAGGAGCUGGUUGGGGAUUCCUUGAUUAAGCAUCUCUGCCAAUUCUGUAACUCAGGGAUGGUUAUGAGACGACGAGACGUAAGGGGGCAUACGAGGAGAGGGUGCGGGACG
rnacentral:lncRNA from 1 species